rnacentral:sRNA from 12 species
UGGAGCUGGUAAUAAUAAGCUAUAUGUGCCUAGAUGCUCCUGAGUGGUUCACUCAGUCCGAGUCUAGGAACAACACAUAUAGCACCGCCGCUCCU